rnacentral:rRNA from 1 species
GACGAACGCUGGCGGCGUGCUUAACACAUGCAAGUCGAACGGUAAGGCUCCAGCUUGCUGGGGUACACGAGUGGCGAACGGGUGAGUAACACGUGGGUGACCUGCCCUGCACUUCGGGAUAAGCCUGGGAAACUGGGUCUAAUACCGGAUAGGACCGCACCGUGAGGGUGUGGUGGAAAGUUUUUUCGGUGUGGGAUGGGCCCGCGGCCUAUCAGCUUGUUGGUGGGGUAAUGGCCUACCAAGGCGGCGACGGGUAGCCGGCCUGAGAGGGUGGACGGCCACAUUGGGACUGAGACACGGCCCAGACUCCUACGGGAGGCAGCAGUGGGGAAUAUUGCACAAUGGGCGGAAGCCUGAUGCAGCGACGCCGCGUGGGGGAUGACGGCCUUCGGGUUGUAAACUCCUUUCACCAUCGACGAAGGGUUUCUGACGGUAGAUGGAGAAGAAGCACCGGCUAACUACGUGCCAGCAGCCGCGGUAAUACGUAGGGUGCGAGCGUUGUCCGGAAUUACUGGGCGUAAAGAGCUCGUAGGUGGUUUGUCGCGUCGUCUGUGAAAUUCCGGGGCUUAACUCCGGGCGUGCAGGCGAUACGGGCAUAACUUGAGUACUGUAGGGGAGACUGGAAUUCCUGGUGUAGCGGUGAAAUGCGCAGAUAUCAGGAGGAACACCGGUGGCGAAGGCGGGUCUCUGGGCAGUAACUGACGCUGAGGAGCGAAAGCAUGGGGAGCGAACAGGAUUAGAUACCCUGGUAGUCCAUGCCGUAAACGGUGGGCGCUAGGUGUGGGUUUCCUUCCACGGGAUCCGUGCCGUAGCUAACGCAUUAAGCGCCCCGCCUGGGGAGUACGGCCGCAAGGCUAAAACUCAAAGGAAUUGACGGGGGCCCGCACAAGCGGCGGAGCAUGUGGAUUAAUUCGAUGCAACGCGAAGAACCUUACCUGGGCUUGACAUAUACAGGAUCGCGCCAGAGAUGGUGUUUCCCUUGUGGCUUGUAUACAGGUGGUGCAUGGUUGUCGUCAGCUCGUGUCGUGAGAUGUUGGGUUAAGUCCCGCAACGAGCGCAACCCUUGUCUUAUGUUGCCAGCACGUUAUGGUGGGGACUCGUAAGAAACUGCCGGGGUUAACUCGGAGGAAGGUGGGGGUGACGUCAAAUCAUCAUGCCCCUUAUGUCCAGGGCUUCACACAUGCUACAAUGGUCGGUACAGUGGGUUGCCAGUCCGUGAGGGCGAGCUAAUCCCGCAAAGCCGGUCUCAGUUCGGAUCGGGGUCUGCAACUCGACCCCGUGAAGUCGGAGUCGCUAGUAAUCGCAGAUCAGCAACGCUGCGGUGAAUACGUUCCCGGGCCU